rnacentral:lncRNA from 1 species
GCCAGGCCCGGUGCUAAGUCCUUCAUAUACAUAGUCUCAUCUAAUCUGAUCUAAUCCUCCCAAUAAACCUGAGAGAGGUAUUAUCAUCCCUUUCCAGAGGAGAAGCAGAGGUCUGGAGAGGAAGAGCGACCUGCUCAAGGUUAGGUGGCUGCGGGCGGUGGAGCUGGCAGUCCUGCCCAUGCUAUCUCACUUCGGAGCCCCGCCCUCUGCCCAGCGGCUGGCCACCAAUCUGCUCUCCAUUAUCCCAGCUGCUCCUCUCACCCCACCUGUGGCCAAUAGGCCGGGAUCAUUGCCUGUUCUGUACGCACACGGGAUCCAGACUGCACUGGCAGUUACUCACCUAGAGUGAUUUCAUCAACAGGAAGGAUUCUGCUGCUGAGGCAAAAUCCACUUCAACGGCCUUCCUUUGACUGAGCUCCUGCCAGCGCUCUCCAUAGGCAGUCGAGGACUCCUGAGUGGACUGACUGCUGGAACCACAGGCCUGCGGCCCACCUGGCCAUGGGCAGCACCACCACCUGAGAAAACCUCGGCCUGUCUGCCGGCAAACACAGCUGGAUCCACUUUCCAUCCAUAUCCAGAAUCUGACCACCUCCCACUACUCCCAGCCUGGCACCAGCCACCAGCACCUCUCACCUACAUGCUCCCAGGAGCCUCCCACCUCGCCUCCAUAUUCUACACUUGACCCUACAGCCUAGGCUCCACCCAGUGGCUACCGGAUUCUGCUAAAGCUUCAGUGUGAUUGUGCUACAUCUCUGCAACUCUGAAAAUGGUUGCCAUUUUCUCAGAGGUCUCUCCUCAAAGUCGUCAUUUCAAAGAGGCUCCGUCUUAGCUCAGGCUGCUGUAAUGACACACCACAGACUGGGUGGCUUAAACCACAGACGUGUAUUUUCCCUAGUUCUGGAAGCUGAGAAGGCCAAGGUCAAGGCACCUGGCUUGCAGAUGGCCACCUUCUUGCCGUGUCCUCACAUGGUGAAGAGAGAGAGAGCUCUGGUCUCUCUUGCUCUCCUUACAGGGACACUAAUCCCAUCGUGGUGGGGAGGGGCACACACGUGGCCUCAUCUAAAUCUAAUUAGCUUCGUCCCAAAGUUCCCACCUCCAGACACGAUCACACUGGGGGUUAGGGCUUCAACAUGUGGCUUUUAGGUGACGCACACAUCCAUCCUCAUUUCACCCGCCCUGGCAACUCUUUUGAAAAUGUCAACCCCGGACACUCAUAUUUCUCUUCUCUGCUUUAUUCUCUCCACAGCACUCAUCCACCCUAGCAUAUAAUCCAUUCUACUUUCUCUUAUUUAUGGUCUGUCUCCUGCACUAGAAUGGAACUCCAUAUGGAGAGGUAUUUCCUUUCUUCCAUCUACUGCUCUGUCCCAGUACCUAGAACAGUGCCAGGUAUAUGGAAGGGGAUCAAUAAAAAUGU